CCUACGGUGCACAGCAGUGGGGGAUAUUGCACAAUGGGGGGAACCCUGAUGCAGCGACGCCGCGUGGGUGAAGAAGCGCCUCGGCGCGUAAAGCCCUGUCAGCAGGGAAGAAAAUGACGGUACCUGAAGAAGAAGCCCCGGCUAACUACGUGCCAGCAGCCGCGGUAAUACGUAGGGGGCAAGCGUUAUCCGGAUUUACUGGGUGUAAAGGGGGCGCAGAAGGGGAUGCAAGCCAGGAGUGAAAGCCCGGGGCCCAACCCCAGGACUGCGCUUGGCACGGCGUGGCUGGCGUGCAGGAGGGGCAGGCGGAAUUCCUGGUGUAGCGGUGAAAGGCGUAGAUAUCAGGAGGAACACCGGUGGCGAAGGCGGCCUGCUGGACUGCAACUGACGUUGAGGCCCGAAAGCGUGGGUAGCAAACAGGAUUAGAUACCCGGGUAGUC
rnacentral:rRNA from 1 species